rnacentral:rRNA from 1 species
AUUAUUUUUUUAUAGCGCAGUGUAAAAGCUGGCUAUAUGAAAACUUAGCAUUAAGUAUAAUAAUUUAUAUUUACUAUUAUGACAAUAAAAUUCUGUUGUUAUUUGAUAAUGUUAUUAUAAGUAGUAUUAAUAUAUGUGUUAAAGGAACUCGGCAAAGAACCACUCAACUGUUUAUCAAAAACAUAGCUGUGUGUAUUAAUACAUAGUAAUUUCUGCUCCAUGCUUAGUAAAUAGCCGCAGUACUCUGACUGUGCAAAGGUAGCAUAAUCAGUUGGCUUUUAAUUAAAGUCUGGUAUGAAUGAAAAUAUGGGUAGUAACUGUCUUAGCAUACUUAUUUGAAAUUACUGAGCAAGUGCAAAUACUUGCAAAUAAAAUAAUAGACGAGAAGACCCUAGAAACUUGAGCUAGUUUUUGUUGGGGCGACAAAAUUACAGUUAACUAAUUUUAUAAUACAUGACGCAAAGUAGAAAGAAUAAGUUACUCUAGGGAUAACAGCAUAAUUUUUAAGUUUGUGACCUCGAUGUUGGACUAGGUACUGCACCCUUAAGACAGGGGUGUAUUAUGCUCUGUUCGAGCAGAUUUACCUACAUGAUCUGAGUUCAGACCGG